UGAAUAACACGAAAAGAACGGUGAAAAGGGAAUCAGGUGUAAGUCCUGAACAGACCCGCUGCUGUAAGUCCUUUUAAUUCUUUGAAUAUACUUUGCCACUGUCUGCUAAUCAAGAUGGGAAGGCGUUUCAAAGAUGGACAAGUCAGAAGACCUGCCAAAAAUAA
rnacentral:ncRNA from 1 species